rnacentral:rRNA from 1 species
UAGAGUUUGAUCCUGGCUCAGAAUGAACGUUGGCGGCGUGGAUUAGGCAUGCAAGUCGCGCGAUAAAAGUAGCAAUACUUGGACAGCGGCGAAAGGGAGAGUAAUACAUAGGUACGUACCCUUGGGACUGGGAUAGCGGCGGGAAACUGCCGGUAAUACCAGAUGACGUUUCCGAACCAAAGGUGUGAAUCCGCCUGAGGAGCGGCCUAUGUCCUAUUAGCUUGUUGGCGAGGUAACGGCUCACCAAGGCAAAGAUGGGUAUGGGGUGUGAGAGCAUGCCCCCACUCACUGGGACUGAGACACUGCCCAGACACCUACGGGUGGCUGCAGUCGAGAAUCUUCGGCAAUGGACGCAAGUYYKRMCSRRGSRACGCCGCGUGCGGGAUGAAGGCCUUCGGGUUGUAAACCGCUGUCGUAGAGGAGGARAUUCUGAUGGGUACUCCCAUCAGAUUGACUGAUUCUAGGAGGAAGGACCGGCUAAUCUCGUGCCWGCCGCCGCGGKAAUUC